AUAAUAUGAUGACUUAGUCGAGUCUCUCUAACAAGUGGUCAGAUUAGCUGGCCAAAGUCGGAUCUAAUCAUUUAGUAGUUAGAUUCUUGAGUAUAAUCAUGUUAAUGGUUGGACCUAACCAAGGCUUGUAGAGAAGACUAAAGUCAACUGAAAAAUUUUUUAGAGCUAAAUCAAUUACUAAAAAUUGUUUACUAAAAUAAUUGGUUAAGAAUCUACCCAUAGAUUUAUAUGGGUGAGUCAGCCAA
rnacentral:lncRNA from 1 species